UUCAGAUGUGAAACAUAUUCUUGAUCUUGUGGAGAGUCCAGACUAUAAACUAGAGACUCUGAGACUGGACGACUCCAGUGUUUCAGAGAUCAGCUGUGAUUCUCUGGUCUCAGCUCUGAAGUCCAACCCCUCCCAUCUGAAACAUCUGGACCUGAGUGACAAC